AACGAACGCUGGCGGCAUGCCUAACACAUGCAAGUCGAACGAAGCCUUCGGGCUUAGUGGCGGACGGGUGAGUAACACGUGGGAACGUACCUUUUGGUUCGGAAUAACGCAGAGAAAUUUGCGCUAAUACCGAAUGAGCCCUUCGGGGGAAAGAUUUAUCGCCGAAAGAUCGGCCCGCGUUGGAUUAGGUAGUUGGUGUGGUAAAGGCGCACCAAGCCUACGAUCCAUAGCUGGUCUGAGAGGAUGAUCAGCCACACUGGGACUGAGACACGGCCCAGACUCCUACGGGAGGCAGCAGUGGGGAAUCUUGCGCAAUGGGCGAAAGCCUGACGCAGCCAUGCCGCGUGAAUGAUGAAGGUCUUAGGAUUGUAAAAUUCUUUUACCAGGGACGAUAAUGACGGUACCUGGAGAAAAAGCCCCGGCUAACUUCGUGCCAGCCGCCGCGGUAAAAC
rnacentral:rRNA from 1 species